rnacentral:sRNA from 1 species
GCCAGGUGUGGUGGCACACACCUGUAAUCCCAGUGACUCAGGAGGUUGAGGCAGGAGGAUCUCAAGUUCAAGGCCAGCCUCAGCAAUUUAGAGAGACUGUCUCAA